AUGGCGGCAGCAGGCUCGACGGCGAGCAUGAAGCUGUUCGUGGACGCGGGCGCGCGCCGCGUGGUGUUCGCGGAGGCCGGCAAGGACGUGGUCGACUUCCUCUUCUCCCUCCUGGCCCUGCCGCUGGGCCGGGCGGACCGGCUGCUCGUCCCGCUCGGCGGCGCGGGCGGCUCCGUCGGCAACCUCUACGCCAGCGUGGAGCGGCUGGACCCGGCGCACGUCCAGCCCGGCGCGGCCGACAAGAGGGCGCUCCUCCACCCCACCGUGCUCUCCCCGCCGGCGCGCGUCGAGCACAGCUUCCACCCGCGGAGGGAGCUCUACACCUGCCCUACGGGCAUCUACACCUUCGAUUGCGGCAGGAACGUGACGGACGAGAGGGGCACCAGGUGCCCGUCCUGCGGCGACGAGAUGACGCUGGAGGCGCGGUACGUGCCGCCGGCGCCCAGGUCCUCAUCGACGGCCGGCAACGGCGAGACGGGUGCGGCGGGCGCGCCAGAGGGGUUCGUCCGUGGCGGCGCCGCGACGAGGUACAUCGUGACGGACGACCUCCAGGGCAAAGAGAUCCUCAAGGCCGUGAUGCUGCAGUCCAAGACCGUGCUCACCGACGUUUUCCGAGUAGCCCGUGGACUGAAAAUGUUCGUCCAUCAAAAGAAAUGCCCCUACGCUGCGACCGGGGGAAACCCUAUCGCCGCCGCGUCCUCGUCCCUCCCCGACCUCUCCUCCUCGCCGCCGCCGGGGCGCGCUGCCGGGCAAAGCCCGGUCGGCGUCAGCAGCGGCGGGAUCUCUUCUCUCACGACUCGCUGGAUCUGGCACGGGUGGAUCGCGGCGAUUGUUGGCGGCGCGGGCUUGGGGGCGAUGGCAGGGCUCACGCUCGCGGUUUCCCCUGAUGUGCGUGGGAGUCCGCUCGGGGCGCGCGGCGGCGGCCCUCGGCAAGCGGUGGCGGGCGCUGGGCUCUUGACGGCGCUCCGGCGUGUGCAGGCGUCGGCGGUCCCUGUGCGCGGUCGACGGCUCAGUCUCUGA
rnacentral:rRNA from 1 species